UUUAAUUGAAGAGUUUGAUCAUGGCUCAGAUUGAACGCUGGCGGCAGGCCUAACACAUGCAAGUCGAGCGGUAACAGA
rnacentral:rRNA from 8 species